CCUACGGGUGGCAGCAGUGGGGAAUAUUGGGCAAUGGGCGCAAGCCUGAACCAGCAAAGCCGCGUGAAGGAAGAAGGCUUUCGGGUUGUUAAAUUCUUUUAGGAGGGAAGAGCAGAAGACGGUACCUCUUGAAUAAGCCACGGCUAACUACGUGCCAGCAGCCGCGGUAAUAGGUAGGUGGCAAGCGUUGUCCGGAUUUACUGGGUGUAAAGGGCGUGUAGCCGGGCUUACAAGUCAGAUGUGAAAUCCCGUGGCUCAACCACGGAACUGCGUUUGAAACUGUCGGUCUUGAGUAUCGGAGAGGCAGGCGGAAGUCCUGGUGUAGCGGUGAAAUGCGUAGAUAUUAGGCGGAACCCCAGUGGCGAAGGCGGCCUGCUGGACGACAACUGACGGUGAGGCGCGAAAGCGUGGGGAGCAAACAGGAUUAGAUACCCGGGUAGUC
rnacentral:rRNA from 1 species